UGCUUCGGCCGGGAAUCGAACCCGGACUGCCCGCGUGGCAGGCGAGCAUUCUACCAGUGAACCACCGAUGGC
rnacentral:tRNA from 1 species